rnacentral:rRNA from 1 species
GACGAACGCUGGCGGCGUGCUUAACACAUGCAAGUCGAACGGAAAGGCCCUGCUUUUGUGGGGUGCUCGAGUGGCGAACGGGUGAGUAACACGUGAGUAACCUGCCCUUGACUUUGGGAUAACUUCAGGAAACUGGGGCUAAUACCGGAUAGGAGCUCCUGCUGCAUGGUGGGGGUUGGAAAGUUUCGGCGGUUGGGGAUGGACUCGCGGCUUAUCAGCUUGUUGGUGGGGUAGUGGCUUACCAAGGCUUUGACGGGUAGCCGGCCUGAGAGGGUGACCGGCCACAUUGGGACUGAGAAACGGCCCAGACUCCUACGGGAGGCAGCAGUGGGGAAUAUUGCACAAUGGGCGGAAGCCUGAUGCAGCAACGCCGCGUGCGGGAUGACGGCCUUCGGGUUGUAAACCGCUUUCGCCUGUGACGAAGCGUGAGUGACGGUAAUGGGUAAAGAAGCACCGGCUAACUACGUG